GACGAACGCUGGCGGCGUGCCUAAUACAUGCAAGUAGAACGCUGAAGGAGGAGCUUGCUUCUCUGGAUGAGUUGCGAACGGGUGAGUAACGCGUAGGUAACCUGCCUGGUAGCGGGGGAUAACUAUUGGAAACGAUAGCUAAUACCGCAUAAGAGUAGAUGUUGCAUGACAUUUGCUUAAAAGGUGCAAUUGCAUCACUACCAGAUGGACCUGCGUUGUAUUAGCUAGUUGGUGAGGUAACGGCUCACCAAGGCGACGAUACAUAGCCGACCUGAGAGGGUGAUCGGCCACACUGGGACUGAGACACGGCCCAGACUCCUACGGGAGGCAGCAGUAGGGAAUCUUCGGCAAUGGACGGAAGUCUGACCGAGCAACGCCGCGUGAGUGAAGAAGGUUUUCGGAUCGUAAAGCUCUGUUGUAAGGGAAGAACGAGUGUGAGAGUGGAAAGUUCACACUGUGACGGUAUCUUACCAGAAAGGGACGGCUAACUACGUG
rnacentral:rRNA from 1 species